GUGGAAAAAGUGAGUCUUUGCUAAUUACUGGGUCUGUGACAAUUUCCAUGCAUACUAGGCACUGAUUUGCAGAUACCGUCCACGACCAGCACAUCAACACCUCAAACAUCAUUUCUUUCUGCAUAUUUUGAUUAUAGCUUUUAGGUGGUGUAGUAGAUAGGACUGCUGCCUCACAGAGCCAUUAUCCUGGGUUCAAAUCUUGCACCAAGACACUAUCCACGUGGAGUCAGCAUGGGUCUCCCUCCCAUUGCUCCAGGUUUCCGCCCAUAGAUGUACAAAUUAGGCUAACUGGCAAUUUCACAGUCAUUCCUGUUUGGGUCCUACAAUUACGUAGUCCCCUAUCCAGGACUGUUUACUGGGGGAUUGUCACCUCUACUUGGGUUAAAGCAGUUUGACAGUGUUAUUUAAUUUAAGGGGUCACCACAGUUGGAUGGAGCAGGUUAGAAAAUGCAUUUAUUAAGGAGUCAAUGAAACUAGGAGUGUGGUUGCCCACAGGCUUAUAGCCAGCACCUUUUAAAACACACUGUCUGGUGGUGCAUGCGGUGUAUUUCAAAAGAUGCUUUGUGUAGCCAAUUCCAUCAUUUGGUAUUUACCUUCCACAUCUCUGUUGUUCUGCUCUGGAUCAGCUAUGGAGCCGAGGCAGCACAUUGUAGUAGAUUAAGGUGGUACUGUU